AACGAACGCUGGCGGCAGGCCUAACACAUGCAAGUCGAGCGAGGACUUCGGUUCUAGCGGCGGACGGGUGAGUAACGCGUGGGAAUGUGCCCUUCUCUACGGAAUAGCCCUGGGAAACUGGGAGUAAUACCGUAUACGCCCUAUUGGGGAAAGAUUUAUCGGAGAAGGAUCAGCCCGCGUUGGAUUAGGUAGUUGGUGUGGUAAUGGCCUACCAAGCCGACGAUCCAUAGCUGGUUUGAGAGGAUGAUCAGCCACACUGGGACUGAGACACGGCCCAGACUCCUACGGGAGGCAGCAGUGGGGAAUCUUAGACAAUGGGGGCAACCCUGAUCUAGCCAUGCCGCGUGAGUGAUGAAGGCCUUAGGGUUGUAAAGCUCUUUCAGCUGGGAAGAUAAUGACGGUACCAGCAGAAGAAGCCCCGGCUAACUCCGUG
rnacentral:rRNA from 1 species